rnacentral:rRNA from 1 species
GACGAACCGUGCGAACGUUGUUCGGAAUCACUGGGCUUAAAGGGCGCGUAGGCGGGCCGCCAAGUCCGGGGUGAAAUCCCCCGGCUCAACCGGGGAAUUGCCUGGGAUACUGGCGGUCUCGAGGGAGGUAGGGGUCGAUGGAACUUCCGGUGGAGCGGUGAAAUGCGUAGAUAUCGGAAGGAACGCCGGUGGCGAAAGCGAUCGACUGGACCUCUUCUGACGCUGAGGCGCGAAAGCUAGGGGAGCAAACGGG